UACGUAGGGUGCAAGCGUUGUCCGGAAUUAUUGGGCGUAAAGAGCUCGUAGGCGGUUUGUCGCGUCUGCUGUGAAAACCCGAGGCUCAACCUCGGGCCUGCAGUGGGGUACGGGCAGACUAGAGUGCGGUAGGGGGAGAUUGGAAUUCCCGGUGUAGCGGUGGAAUGCGCAGAUAUCAGGAGGAACACCAAUGGCGAAGGCAGAUCUCUGGGCCGUAACUGACGCUGAGGAGCGAAAGCAUGGGGAGCGAACAGG
rnacentral:rRNA from 1 species